rnacentral:lncRNA from 1 species
GCAUCACUUGCACAUUAACGGGGACAACAAACUCACUCUGCCACUGUCUAAUCGUGUUCACAUGUCAUGUUCACUGAUGCUGGUGUUCAUUCAGUUGCUGUAGUUGAGCGUUUGUACUUGAACAUUGAUGCUGCUGCAGAUUUUAGUGGGCGUCUACAAAGUCGUUAGACAAGGAUUGUGAAAGCACAGCAAAAUAGAAAGUUGUACUGUUCUCAAAACUUUGAGAGAUGGACAAAAACGGAGCGAAAAUUAGGCAGAUGGAUAGAGGACUGAGCUGAUCGGGUGGCUUCUAGCCUAACUGACUCUUUCCUUCCCCCUCUUUCUCUCUUGUAAUAACUCUAUCCAUCACUCGCCUAAAUCUCUGGUAUGGUUUGCUUCUCACGGAUCAAAAACAACGCUGGCGUCUUUCACGCACCACGUCUACGGAGCGGGGGUGCAAAGUUGAAAGAGGACCUGAGCCCUAGGACCAUGCCUCAGGACCUCCUGGGCCGAUGACUCCUUGCUGUUCCCAGUCCACCUUGCCAUGCUACUGCUCCAGUUUCAACUGUUCUGCCUACAGCUAUGGAACCCUGACCUGUUCACCGGAUGUGCUACCUGUCCCAGACCUGCUGUUUUCAGAGAGCAGGAGCGGUAGAGAUACUCUGAAUGAUCAGCACCGAGAAGCCAACUGAAAUUUACUCCUGAGGUGCUGACCUGUUGCACCCUCAACAGCCAUUAUGAUUAUUAUUAUUUGACCCUGCUGGUCAUCUAUGAACAUUUGAACAUCUUGGCCAUGUUCUGUUAUAAUCUCCACCCGGCACAGCCAGAAGAGGACUGGCCACCCCUCAUAGCCUGGUUCCUCUCUAGGUUUCUUCCUAGGUUCUGGCCUUUCUAGGGAGUUUUUCCUAGCCACUGUGCUUCUACACCUCCAUUGCUUGCUGUUUGGGGUUUUAGGCUGGGUUUCUGUACAGCACUUUGUGACAUCAGCUGAUGUAAGAAGAGUUUUAUAAAUAUAUUUGAUUGAUUGAUUGAUUGAUUGAUACAUGGGGUGGCAGGUAGCCUAGGGGUUAGAGCGUUAGACUAGUAAUCGAAAGGUUGCAAGAUCGAAUCCCUGAGCUGACAAGGUAAAAAUAUGUUGUUCUGCCCCUGAACAAGGCAGUUAACCCACUGUUCCUAGAUCGUCAUUGAAAAUAAGAAUUCAUUUUUAACUGACUUGCCUAGUUAAAUAAAGGUAAACAAAUUAAUUAACAUGGAACCCAAAAGGGUUCCCCUAUGGGGACAGAUGAAGAACCCUUUUAGGUUCUAGAUACAAUAGCACCUUUUUUUCCUAAGAGUGUAAAGUCAAUCACAGUGCUAUUGAUAUGGUAUGAUUCAAGAAAUAAGUAAUAUCAUCUACAGUGUGUCCAAGCAGGAAUGCAUGAUAACGGUAUUUUGAUGUGCAACACCUAAACCAUUUUGGGUUGACAAUUAGAUUAUUGUUGCUAUGAUUUUACUGUUAAAAUACGAAUUACAGAUUUAUUUUGUUCAAUAGAGAUUAAUUUGCUUACAUGUUGUUGUGUACAAAUAUCACACAGGCUAACUCACUUGGGGCUAAUUUUACAUUUUACAUUUGUCAUUUAGCAGACGCUCUUAUCCAGAGCGACUUACAGUAGUGAAUGCAUACUCACUGAGGAAUGCAUAAUCACUGAGGAAGGUGAAACUCGAAACCUAAACCACAAUAGCCUAGUGUUUUUUCGCAUUAUUGUAUUUUUAAAUGUUGUGCAAUAAGAAUACAUUUUUUUCUUCUUCCCCUUCUCUCCAUCUGGGCUUGUCGGAGCGCACAAGCAAAAACAGGGGCAGGGCAAACACAGGAAUCCGGAUGCUACUGUUUGACCAAAUCAUGGUUUUAGCUGUCACCAAAAUCCAAUGUUUUGAGUAAAGUGACCAGCUACAAUUUUCUACCAGCUUUCACAGUCUCACGUCAGAAUUAGAGGUUCAUCCAUGUUUCCCAAAGGUCAAAUUUCAAAGUGUUUAAGGUUAAGUUUAGGCAUUAACUCCAAAUUUGUAAGGUUAGGGUUAAGUUCAGGCAUUAACAACAAAUUCUUCUUCCAAGGGUAAGAAAAGAUCGGGGGAAAUCAUAUAAUUUCAGUGGGCUGUCCCAUUGCUUAACAGAUACCAGAAGCUGACAUUGAGGAAAAAGACAAGACUGUAUUGUCUCACAAUUUAGAGGACAAAAAGUCAGAACUUCAAUGAUGAGGGCACUGGGGAGCACUCUCAAUUUAGUGAAUAGGCUCUUUGUGACAUUUGGCUUCUUCAGCCAGACUCCGCUUCUGGAGCUGUCUCUCUCUGAAGUGCUUGGUGGCCAGACAUCGAUCCUGUCUGGGGUUAGAGUACUGCUAACCAAAUGGAGUCUAGCCAGAUAAAGACAAAGAUAGUCUGCAAAUGAAGGAGGGAGGGAGACACUGUUGGCCAACACUGUUGGAUAACAUGUUAUCUCUCUCCUCUUGCUCUCUCUCUCUACUUUUAGAAAGUUCAGUGGAACAGAUGUCUCAAGCAGUCGUAACCACAAAGCACUGUAGAGAAUGCAGGGAAAACUGCCCUUCAAGAGAGUUUAGAGAGAGAGACAUGGAAACUGUAGAGUAUGGACAUCAAUUCAAUCAGUUGCAGAUAAAGUAAACCCGCAUUGUGAAUGUUUAUGUUGUGUUUUAAGGACAGGUGUAGUUUUUGAUCUAAUCCAAGGAAAAUGUAUGCAUGAAGGAACAGCUUGUGGGGUGUGUUGUUAUAAAGUGAUUAACACCUCUGAUACAACAUAAACAGAUGAAGCGAGUUCUCAGUUUUCCUUUAUCUGCAAUUGAUUGAUUCUUUGUACGUACUUCUGUAGAGGUGAACCUUAAAGAGCUUUCAGAUCAAUUCAAUUCAGUCCAUUAGUGGGUUACCUCAUCCAGACAGAACUUAGACUGGCACACUUCAUAGAGGCAGCAGGUAGCGUAGUGGUUGAAUGUCAAAGUAAAAAAAUCUGCAGAUGUGCCAUUGAGCAAGGCACUUAACACUAAUUUACUCCAGGGGUGCUGUACUACUAUGGCUGACCCUGUAAAACAACACGUCACUGCACCUAUCCUGUGAAUGUGACAAUAUCUUACUUAGUCUGAAUAUUGGGUUACAUAGGCAAAGUGUUGGUGUAAUUGACCAAUUAAAAACGCCUUGGAGCAAACAAGAUCAUCACUGUAUGGGAUAACUAUACACACGCUGUGCAAAGAUGUAGCUAACAACAAGCUCUAUGUUUUUUUAUUUUUUUAUUGAAUUUUGUACUUCUUACCCAUUUUUUUGUUAUAUCCAAUUGGUGUGCCGGCCUGCCAAACCCUCCACUAACCCGGAUGACGCUGGGACAACUGUGCGCCGCCUCAUGGGUCUCCCAGUCGCAGCCGGCUGCGACACAGCCCGGGAUCGAACCCGGGUCUGUAGUGAUGUCUCAAGCACUGCGAUGCAGUGCCUUAGACCGCUGCACCACUCAGGAGGCCCCUGAAGCAUCUCUGGAUUACAUGGCCGGUUGAUGAAGCCCUUGGGGUGGUGUAUGUGUGCGUGCGUGGAUGGAUGGAGGCACGGCCUGCGUCAACAAAUUACUCCAACGCUAUUCUCAGCUCUAUCUCCUCAUUAAAACAUUCCUCAAGCCGGCCACGUCCCGCCAUGAAGUCCCAUUCCUUUAUUUUAAUUGUCUAAUUAGGGUCCUUGGCUUGGAUUCUGUGUGCCGACUUUAACAAGGCAAUUAGUGACGUGUCUGGACUGCCUCCCUCCUGCUACAGGAGAUUUAGGGAAAGGGUUGGGGGGUGCUGGGCAGGGGGCAGUGUGUGUGUGUGAGGGAGAGAGUGGUGUAGGGUUGCGGGCGUGUUGGUACUAACUCCAGGAGGCAGCCCUUUUUAAGGAUGGUAGUACAGGGAAACAAAUCCUGACUAUGAUUAGUCAGGAUAAGAGGAUUCUAAGAAUAAAACGUUUCCAUUAAAACAUUAUAAAGUUGAUGCAAACCUGUCUGUUGCAAGAGUUUAAGGGAAUUCGUUUGUUGUGAGCGAUAUCAAACAGUACAGGUGUUCCAUCUGAAAUCGUGUUGUGGUGAAAAAGAGUUCCACUUGACUGUUAGAGGAAGGUGUUGUCAUAUUCAUUUUCAGCCAAUAUUAUUUUCUCAGUUGAUCUUAACUCAAAUAUGAGUAAGAUAAGCAUUCUGUCAUGUGAUGUGGAAUAGUCAUGCAGGAAUAAUCCUUCACAAUACAUAUUUUUUUUGCCAUACAAGCUCUUACCAUACUGUCUUUCAAAGGUUUGGCAAAUAAAGAUAGUUGUUCCAUGU